UAUCCGGGGAGCCAAGUGGCUGAGAGGAGGACUUUUCGUCCUCGACCCGCAGACCUGAUUUGGGUAAUGCCAACGUAGGGAAGAUCAA
rnacentral:ncRNA from 1 species